GACGAACGCUGGCGGCGUGCUUAACACAUGCAAGUCGAACGGAAAGGCCCUUCGGGGUACUCGAGUGGCGAACGGGUGAGUAACACGUGGGUGAUCUGCCCUGCACUUUGGGAUAAGCCUGGGAAACUGGGUCUAAUACCGAAUAGGACCACGCGCUUCAUGGUGUGUGGUGGAAAGCUUUUGCGGUGUGGGAUGGGCCCGCGGCCUAUCAGCUUGUUGGUGGGGUAAUGGCCUACCAAGGCGACGACGGGUAGCCGGCCUGAGAGGGUGACCGGCCACACUGGGACUGAGAUGCGGCCCAGACUCCUACGGGAGGCAGCAGUGGGGAAUAUUGCACAAUGGGCGCAAGCCUGAUGCAGCGACGCCGCGUGAGGGAUGACGGCCUUCGGGUUGUAAACCUCUUUCAAUAGGGACGAAGCGCAAGUGACGGUACCUAUAGAAGAAGCACCGGCCAACUACGUG
rnacentral:rRNA from 1 species